GGGAAUUGUUCGCAAUGGGCGCAAGCCUGACGACGCAACGCCGCGUGAGUGAUGAAGGCCUUCGGGUCGUAAAGCUCUGUCAGAGGGGAAGAACCACCAGUCGGCUAAUAUCCGGCAGGCCUGACGGUACCCUCAAAGGAAGCACCGGCUAACUCCGUGCCCGCAGCCGCGGUAAUACGGAGGGUGCAAGCGUUGUUCGGAAUUACUGGGCGUAAAGCGCGUGUAGGUGGUUCGAUAAGUCGAAUGUGAAAGCCCCGGGCUCAACCCGGGAAGUGCAUCCGAAACUGCCGAACUAGAGUCCCGGAGAGGAAGGCAGAAUUCCCAAUGUAGGGGUGAAAUCCGUAGAUAUUGGGAGGAAUACCGGUGGCGAAGGCGGCCUUCUGGACGGUGACUGACACUCAGACGCGAAAGCGUGGGGAGCAAA
rnacentral:rRNA from 1 species